CAAAGCAACGAACGAACGGCAACCCAGGUUAGUUCCGAGACAAAACCAACGGACCAAGCUGCCAAGGUGAGACGGACGCAGCUAGACCGUAGACAAACCUAAAACCUAGACCUUGUAAAUCCUCCAAUCGGCUAACUACAUAAACUAACGACCGGGAAAACACAACCGACUACCACCGCUCUACUUUAUACUUAAUUUGGACU
rnacentral:rRNA from 1 species